GCAGAGGGCGCUGCCGGGCAGGCCCAAGCCUGGAGUUGCGGGGACCCCGGCCUCCCGCCAACACGCGAGCUUUCCGGCUCACAAUUGUCAAAUCAUCUCAUCUUUCCAAGACACCCUCAUCACAUAGACAGCGUCGAUGUUCUGUAGCUGGCUUACUAAAGGGGCUUGACUUAGCAGGGAAAAGCACUGAGCCGAUCUCUUUCUUUCCUGCUCCUGCCCUUGCGAACUGAUUCUGUGGACUCCUUUUUUGCUGUUUCUGGGGGAAAUCUCGGCAGAUCACUCGCUUUUCUCGGAGUCCUCCCCGUUUACUGUCAGGAACACUUGACUGGUAAGAGAAAAAUGCCUGAAAUGAGCAUGUGAUCAACUUCAGUAAACACAGUACACAUGCGGGCCCCUCCCAAGUGCUGGCAGGCCACUGUGCAUGUGGACAGCCUACACCAAGGAAAUAUCAAGGGAGGGGAGGCGCAAAACCCCGGAAGCAUGCCAAGGUAUAAAGCCCCACGUCCAAUGUCAAACAGGACACCUGCUCUCUCAAGUCACCUGCUUGGUCCUCUUCCAAGUGUACUUUACUUCCUUUUGUUCCUGCUCUAAAACUUUUUAAUAAACUUUCACUCCUGCUCUAAAACUUGCGUUGGUCGCUCCCUCUGCCUUAUGCCCCUCCGACUAAUUCUUUCCUCUGAGGAGGCAAGAAUGGAGGUUACUACAGACCCGUACAGAUUCACUACUGCUAACAAUUUGAGAAAUAACUCCGUCUCCUGUGUGGCAUGGCUGGCCUUGUGGCAAUUAAACUAUAUCUUUAUUACAA